UACGAAGGGGGCUAGCGUUGUUCGGAUUUACUGGGCGUAAAGCGCACGUAGGCGGAUCGUUAAGUCGGGGGUGAAAUCCUGGAGCUCAACUCCAGAACUGCCUUCGAUACUGGCGCUCUUGAGUCCGGAAGAGGUGAGUGGAACUCCUAGUGUAGAGGUGGAAUUCGUAGAUAUUAGGAAGAACACAGUGGCGAAGGCGCUCACUGGUCCGGUACUGACGCUGAGGUGCGAAAGCGUGGGGAGCAAACAGG
rnacentral:rRNA from 1 species